UCGGUCCAGCAUGCUUAUUUCAAGUGUC
rnacentral:piRNA from 1 species